rnacentral:rRNA from 1 species
ACGCUCGACACCUACGGGAGGCAGCAGUGGGGAAUAUUGCACAAUGGGGGAAACCCUGAUGCAGCGACGCCGCGUGAGCGAAGAAGUAUUUCGGUAUGUAAAGCUCUAUACAGCAGGGAAGAAACUGACGGUACCUGACUAAGAAGCACCGGCUAAAUACGUGCCAGAAGCCGCGGUAAUCUGAGCGGGCUGGCAAGGC